ensembl:snRNA U1 U1 spliceosomal RNA
AUACUUACCUGGCAGGGGAGAUACCAUGAUCACGAAGGUGGUUUUCCCAGGGCGAGGCUUAUCCAUUGCACUCCGGAUGUGCUGACCCCUGCGAUUUCCCCAAAUGUGGGAAACUCGACUGCAUAAUUUGUGGUAGUGGGGGAAAAAAAGAAAAAAAAAAAGAACAAUGAACCCACC